UACAGAGGUCCCAAGCGUUGUUCGGAUUCACUGGGCGUAAAGGGUGCGUAGGCGGUCGGGUAAGUCUGAUGUGAAAUCUCACAGCUUAACUGUGAAACUGCAUUGGAUACUAUCCGGCUCGAGGAAUGGAGGGGAGACUGGAAUACUUGGUGUAGCAGUGAAAUGCGUAGAUAUCAAGUGGAACACCAGUGGCGAAGGCGAGUCUCUGGACAUUUCCUGACGCUGAGGCACGAAAGCCAGGGAGCAAACAGG
rnacentral:rRNA from 1 species